rnacentral:rRNA from 1 species
UACGUAGGGUCCGAGCGUUGUCCGGAAUUACUGGGCGUAAAGAGCUCGUAGGUGGUUUGUCGCGUUGUUCGUGAAAACUCACAGCUUAACUGUGGGCGUGCGGGCGAUACGGGCAGACUAGAGUACUGCAGGGGAGACUGGAAUUCCUGGUGUAGCGGUGGAAUGCGCAGAUAUCAGGAGGAACACCGGUGGCGAAGGCGGGUCUCUGGGCAGUAACUGACACUGAGGCGCGAAAGCGUGGGGAGCGAACAGG